GAGGUCAUAAGAGUCACAACUUCUCGUACUAAAAUUGGAACAAUACAGAGAUGAUUAGCAUGGCCCCUGCGCAAGGAUAACACACAAAUUUGUGAAGCGUACCAUAUUUUU